CCUGCUACCUUCUGCCAUGCCUUCCCACCACCGUCCUCUCUUUAGAACUCUAAGCCCAAGUAAGUCCAUAAGUUGGCUUUGAUCAUGAUAUCUUUUUGUUCCAGAAAGGGAAAAGUGGAUAAAGUACCAGGCAAAGCCUCACCACUGCACAGCGUUUCCCAGAGUCCUCCGCCACCAUCUCUUUCUCUCGCAAGCAAUCAGGACAGAUGUCUGCUGGACACUGCUGCUUCGUCUGUGCUGAGGGAAUCUCUAAGGCCUCUCCUGCUUCUCCAGCAGGUCGUGUUGUGCUUGCUGCUUCACCAAUAUAUCAGUGUCAGAGGCGUACGGGCUAUGAUCUAUCCCGACUCUAACCGUUAGCACAGACUCAAGCAACUGAUAGCUAAUGGAUGACCACUUACAGAGUGACCAGCAAUCAGAUUCACUUGCUAGCUAGCCAAGCGCCCAAAGACCUCAUCGACUAUGAAUCCUGUUCAACUGCCUCUCUUAGAUGGCCAAAGCUCACCUGCCUAGGGCUGGUACUGCCUGCAGCGAGCUGGACUCUCCUACGCCAGUUAGCAAUCAUGGUCUCUUACAGACAUGGUCACAGGCCAAUUUAAGCUGAGCAGUUCCUCAGCUGAGGUUCCCUCUUCCGUGAUGUGUCAACAACCAAGACUAGACAUGGCAGUGUGUAUCUGGUGUGUGCAUACGUGUGUGCAAGUGCACUGACUUGACACAUGGGGGCCACGUGAGGAUGUCCAGUGUCUUCUCUGUCACUCUACACCUUUUCCUUUGAGAUCUGCUCUGUGAAACCUGGAGCCUGGCUGGAGACAUAUUGUUUACUACUCCUCCAAGGCUAGGGCUCCAGAUGCGUACACCACCACGUGAAUCCUGGGAUCCGAACUCAGAACCUCAUGCCUGUGCAGCAAGCACUGUCACCGACUGGGCCACCUCUUCGGCAUCUCCUCCUAACCCUGCACCAGUCACAUGAUCUUCUUUCAGGUUUCUGUGCUGAUAAGACAUUUCUACAGCUGGUGACAGACAGCUUCAUCCUAUUAGCUGACGGAUUCGGGAGUGAAUGCUACUGAUUCCACCAUCUAUCUUCUUAUUUUUCUUUACAUUUUUUUUGAACCGUGUUUUUUUUUCCCCGCCUUACAUUUUGACACUAAUCACCUGACGUCCAACCCUAGUUUUUCACCUUGCAUUUUCCUGCCUUGAGCUUUUUAGUAAUACACAAA